UUAUGACAAUCUCAUGACAAAUAAUACUUACAGAAACAUUUUCUGCUGAGUUGACCGGCAUCUCAUCCACACUGUGAUUGCCAUUUGUAAUGUCACAGAUGCAGUAGUUGCUAACAGAAGGAGGUCUGAAUGUGUGGCCACCAUCACAAUGAAUUUCUGGACUGAUUCCACAGCCGAAUGUGAAUGAGGCAAGAGAAUGAUAGUGUGUGAGUAAAACUACUGCAUGUACCAAUUCCGCAAGGGACCAGCUGUGCUCUUCAGCUUUUAAAAGUCCCUUAGGGGGAAAAAAAAAGAAUAUAUUUUUGUACCGGGGUGUGGUAAAAGUAUACAGUUAAUUUUAGUAUUUAAUUUAUUGAAAACAUGAGUCACCAUACAAAGCCUAGCAUAAAAUUAUCAUUUGAAACAUGUAGAACCCAGAAUUUGCUAAUUUUUAUGAAUAUGCAUUCACAAAUAGAACUUAACAUAAUCUGUUAAGACAUUCACUAUUAUUUUGAUUUUCUGAAAUACUGAAUUAAAAUGUAAGAGAAUGCAUUUUGCUUAAAAGUGGUUGCUGUAUUUCAGAUGCUGGAUUAUGAAUGAAUUACUGUGUUGUUAGUUCAAAAUCUCAAAGCAAAUGUAAUAAAUUUGUGUUUAAAAGUAGAA
rnacentral:antisense_RNA from 1 species